UUGAAGAGGCGAGACUGGAGCUGGAGAUCUGGAGAUGGGAAUAUCCAGCUGGAGGCAAAAGGAGGUCCAGAAAUGCUUAACUUUAAGGUCCAAUUUUUCUUCCCAAAAGUUUUGCUGCAAGGAAGCUGUCUGGUUCAAAAGGAUGAGUCUCCAGGAGGACAGAAGUCUGCUGGAGAAGAGGCUGAAGGCAUUAUAUCAGGACCCACCAGAUUUGAAAACCCUAAAAACUUUGGGGAAAUGGGGUAGUGUUUUCAUUGUUAGUUUUUGCCAAAGGCAGACUGCCUGCCUUUCUGGCUCAAAUGUCAAUGUAUCAAGGGCAUUGGGCAAUGCCCCCAAAUGCCAAUUGCCUGUACCUGUACCCCAAAGCUUUCCCGCCAUUAGUGAUGAGAGUCUAACCCCAUGUUGCAUUUCCCAUUUGUCUGUUUGGUCAGCAAUGUCCAGUCUUGACCAAAAGGGGGAUGUUGCCAACAUGGAAUCUAGGACCCCCAAACUUGUGUCAUGGUGGAAUAUGAUGAACCCCAAGUUUCAGGACUAACUUAUAGGUUGGAGACCCCAAAGCUUGGCCUUGUUCCCUUUUCCCAUGGGAAUCUACACUGAAGGGAAUCCCAGGCUAGCAGUUUUAGACUGAGUGGGGGGACCCUUAGGGGAAUGACAAUCCUAGUUAGUGGGACUAGGCCUAUGCUAAGGACCCUCCUUGUUUUAGGUUGUCUCCCCUAUGGUAUCAGACCCUUUCCCAAGAAGACCCACACGUGGGCAGGAACCAUCCUUUAGUAUCAUCCAUUGUAAGUAGCCCCUUCUCUUAUACCCUAUCUUCUAGCUAUGAUUCCUUUCCCAAGCUUGAUUGUAUCCUGACAAUGUAGUUUGAACACUCCCAUUUUCCUUGUAGCUAUAGUGAUGUCAGUCAUCUUUCCCUGCCCCUGGACUCCCCAAAUGGUAUAUAGGAUCCCCAAAUUCUUUUGUACCUUGGAGUCUCAUCUAGGGUGGUGGCACUCCCAGGGGUCAGUGACCAGAGCGGCCAGAGUUCAGCUCUGUGACUAGCCCUACUAGCACUGAACCCCUUUUGCCCUUGAUUAAAGAGUGAUUUUGACUAUUUAAUAGUUCUGUGUUUUUUCCCAGUCAACAACAGGAAGAACAGCUGUAGAAAUAAACCCAGAUACCUUUCUCA
rnacentral:lncRNA from 1 species